rnacentral:rRNA from 1 species
UACGUAGGGUGCGAGCGUUAAUCGGAAUUACUGGGCGUAAAGCGUGCGCAGGCGGCUUGCCAAGUCAGAUGUGAAAGCCCCGGGCUUAACCUGGGAACUGCAUUGGUGACUGCAUCGCUCGAGUAUGGCAGAGGGGGGUAGAAUUCCACGUGUAGCAGUGAAAUGCGUAGAGAUGUGGAGGAAUACCGAUGGCGAAGGCAGCCCCCUGGGUCAAUACUGACGCUCAUGCACGAAAGCGUGGGGAGCAAACAGG